ensembl:lincRNA Gm26606 predicted gene, 26606
CUUCCUGUUCCGGUUGCCGCGGAGAUUCGGUUGCCUAGCAAGAGGCGAGGUUUCGGCAUUCACUUAUUUUAGAUGGUGGGUCCCCUGGAAGGAGUGUAUCGCUGCUGCAAGCUUCUAAGAUGUUUCCAUCCCGGCCUGCUGUGGGCAGUCCCUGUUAUGGUAUGUUGUCCCUGACACAUUAUAAAUCGUAAAUUCUUUUAUCAGCAAGACUAAGAACCUGCAAAAGGGAACCCUGAUAACUAGUAAUAUGUCUUGCUCAAUUCUUUGGGAUACAAUCUGGAUGUCACAUGAAGGACAACUCAAGACCCCCAUCCAGUUAUAUCAGCCUUUUAUUAUACUUACUGACUUUUGCACAGAGUAUCAUGAUGAAAACCCAAAAAGUGGUAUUUGAAACGAAGACAUUGACAUUAUUUAAGUAAUAGUAGCACAAGAUAAUGUAUUAUCAGUUCUGGAUUUUUUUUUUUUUUUUUGAGUGGAAGGGGAGGUUGAGAUAGCCCAGGUCUAUAGCCCUAGAACUGGCCUCAAACUCCCAGAGAUCCACCUGCCUCUGCCUCCCAAGUGCUGGGAUUAAAGGCUUGCACUGCCACUGCCCGGCUUCUUUGGCCUUUUUAUACCUUCUUAGACAAAAGUUCCUAGAAAAUUACCUCAGAAAGAAAUGUUACAUAAAAUGGGAGUUACAGAAGGAUGUUGAUAUUAAGUUCAAAGCAGUGUUGCAUUCUAUAUGCUCAUUAUACAUUUAAAGCAACAGUUUCACAUGGCCUUGCCUUAUCAUAGUGCACACCUGUAGCUUUAUCCAUGGACCUAAAUAUUUUUCCUUGAACAUAAAUUUGUCCCAAGACUAUUCCUCUUUUUAGUGUAAUUAUGAAAGCUCACUAUUUCUUAUUAUGUAGACUUUACUUGCUAUUAUGAGGAAUUGGCACAUUCUAUUCUUGAUUCUAACUUUAUUACAUCUUUCUAGCAAAGCAACUAAGUCCAUUUCUAAAAACUUUCUUUCUAGAAUUAAUCAAAUCAAGAAUUCUAUAAAAUCAUUCAUUCAUCUAAACAGCAUUAAUUCAUGAAAGUUCAUCUUUGUGUUGAUCUGCAGAAAAUCUGGUCAAUAGGGUGGGCUAAUGCCCAGGAACUAUUAUAUUAAUAAUGACAGGAAAGGCAUAUCAGUUGCAGGAAGCAAUCCUCUGGUGAAAUCCCUUUGGGACCCGUACCUCACAGAGCUCACCCACCGCAGAUGUGCAGAAGCAGCAGGCCACCUCCAGGAAGGCAACCUUAGCCUAUCCUAGGUGGCUCCUGGCACCCAACCCUACAGCUCAUUUUGCAGACAAAGGCCAAGAGGUGUCCUAGUUCAUGUCCAUAAAAAAAUGACCAGAAAGCUAGAAGUAAGGUCCACCUAUGCAGUGGUAAGACUUCCUAACAUUUUAAAGAGCAUACAUUUUUUUUUUAGGGUUUUUUUUUUUUUUGGAACUGGACUUUUUGAAAUAGUAACACAGUUACUAUUCUGUUGCCGUGAUAAAAUACCAUGACCAGGUCAUCUUAUUUGUGGGAGGAGGUAUUUGGGCUUACAGUUCCAUAGGGAUAAAAAUCCAUCCUGGUGGAGAAGCAUGGUACCAAGCAGCAGCGAGAAGCUACGAUUUCACACCCUCAGCUACAAGCGUGAGUCAAGAGAGUGAGCCGGAAGCAUGCGAUACCUCCAGUGGUACACUUCUACCAGCAAGGCUAGUCCACCUAAACCUCACCAGCAGCACGGCCGACUGGGACGCUCUCCUCAAUCACAGCACAGUACCCAUUAGUACUAUACAGUGUGUCUAUGCAGGAGGCGAUUUUCUCCUGUUAGUUUCUUUUAAUAAACAAAGCCUUGGAUUCUCCUGCAUCAACAGGUACAAAUAUGCUAGCCAAGCAGAACACACAGGUAUUUUGAUUGAUAACUUACAUCUAAAAUGUACAUAGUAAGUUCAUUGCUUAGGAGAGCAACCCGAGCCUCUUUCCAAGCCAGGCAUAGCAGCUUAUAUGUGCACUCUUCCUGCAGGAAGAAGAUGAGGACUAUUAGCUACAUCUCUGUGGAGCUCAUUUCGUUUACAUAUGUAUGUUACUUCCAAAUUUGCAUUUUCAAUGACAAAAUUGCCAAAUCCAGAACAGUUGUCCUACGAAAGGUGCUUUGAACCAUCUUAAAGCUAUAAUGCCAUUUCGCCAGCAGAUGGCGCUUCGUAGGUUAGGGUAGGGAUGCAGUGGGAGGGGAGUUUUUAAACCUGCUCUGAAAAUAUAAAAUGCAUUUAAUGGAAGGAAAAAUGAUAAUUAUAAUCUCAAAAAAUUUAAAAAAACAUGCAAUUAGUGUUAAAGGUAAAAUACAACCAUUAUUUGUAACAAGUCACUACAAAUAAAGCAAAUAAAAGAUAAAACCUAGGUCGUAAAAAAAUGUAAGCAGUUUGUAUGAAUGAAUAAACAAUUAAAC